rnacentral:rRNA from 1 species
GUUCGAUCGCAUACAGCUCUGAUUGAACCUGCGGGAUGCUUUACCCAUGCAAGUCGAACGGCAGCACGGACUUCGGUCUGUUUGGCGGUGGCGCGAACGGGUAGGUAAUGUAUCGGAACGUGCCUAAGUAGCGGGGAUAACUACGCGGCGUAGCUAAUACCACGCGUACGCCCUUCGGGGAAAGUAACAAGGAACAACCGAGCACUCACCUGUUCAAGCGUGAUAUCAGGAUUGGCGGAUGAUAAGUGCUGUAGCUCACAAGGCGACGAUCCGUAGCUGGUUUGAGAGGACGACAACCACCUGCGGAACCAGACACAGCCUUGAACUCCUACGAGCAGCAGUGAAAUUUUGGACAGCAUAAUAAUGGAAACCCUGAUCGGCCAUCGCGUGCGAUGUGACGCAGGUUGUAAAGCUGGCGGAAAAAGCGGCAGGAUAAUACCCGUGCAACCCGACAAUCACCUGGAACAACUUUGGCUAACCGUGCCAGCAGCCGGUAAUACAUGCGAGGGUGCAAGCGGCAAUGGAAUUACUGGGCGCUAAAGCGUGCCGCAGGCGGUUCCGGAAAGAAAAAUCAUGAAAAAUCAGGCUUGCUUUGGACUACAUUUUUAACUACCGAGCUAAGUAUGUCGAGGAGGUGAAUUCAACGUGUAGCAGUGAAAUGCGUAGAUAUGCGGAGAGACACCGAUGUGAGGAAGGCAGCCUCCUGGGAUAACACUGACAUCUGCACGGCGUGGGAGCAAACAGGAUUAGAUACCUGGUGGUCCACGCCUAAACGAUGUCAACUAGCUGUUGGGGCCUUCGGGCUUGGUAACGCAAUAACGCGUGAAGUUGACCGCCUGGGGGUACGGUCACUUACUGGUCUAAAACUCAAAGGAAUAUUGACGGGACCCACACAAGCGGUGGAUGAUGUGGAUUAAUUCGAUGCAACGCGAAAAACCUUACCUACCCUUGACAUGUCUGGAAUCCCGAAGAGAUUUGGGAGUGCUCAUAGAAACCGGAACACAGGUGCUGCAUGGCUGUCGUCAGCUCGUGUCGUGAGAUGUUGGGUUAAGUCCCACCCAACGAGCGCAACCCUUGUCAUUAGUUGCUACGAAGGGCACUCUAAUGAGACUGCCGGUGACAAACCGGAGAAUUGGGGAUGACGUCAAGUCCUCAUGGCCCUUAUGGGUAGGGCUUCACACGUCAUACAAUGGUCGGGACGGGGUCCUGGCUUUCGCGAGGGGAGUCAAUCCCGAAACCCGAUCAUAGUCCGGAUCACCAGUCUACAGCAUCGACUGCGUGAAGUCAGGAAUCGCUAGUAAUCGCAUGGAUCAACAUGCGUGACCACGUUCCCGGGUCUUGUACACACCGCCCGUCACACCAUGGGAGUGGGUUUUUUACCCCAAGUGAAUUUAGCCUAACCGUAAGGAGGCGAUUACCACGGUAGGAUUCAUGACUGGGGUGAAGUCGUAACAAGGUAG